GAACGCUGGCGGCAUGCCUUACACAUGCAAGUCGAACGGCAGCACGGGAGCAAUCCUGGUGGCGAGUGGCGAACGGGUGAGUAAUAUAUCGGAACGUGCCCGGUCGUGGGGAUAACGUAGCGAAAGCUACGCUAAUACCGCAUACGAUCUACGGAUGAAAGCGGGGGAUCGCAAGACCUCGCGCGAUUGGAGCGGCCGAUAUCAGAUUAGGUAGUUGGUGAGGUAAAGGCUCACCAAGCCGACGAUCUGUAGCUGGUCUGAGAGGACGACCAGCCACACUGGGACUGAGACACGGCCCAGACUCCUACGGGAGGCAGCAGUGGGGAAUUUUGGACAAUGGGCGCAAGCCUGAUCCAGCAAUGCCGCGUGCAGGAUGAAGGCCUUCGGGUUGUAAACUGCUUUGUACGGAACGAAACGGUGAGCUCUAAUACAGUUUGCUAAUGACGGUACCGUAAGAAUAAGCACCGGCUAACUACGUG
rnacentral:rRNA from 1 species